CCCAAAGAUUCUUUUUCACUUUGCCUGGACAGUUGAAACGAUUAGGAAGUUUUCCCGCGUUCCGUUUAAUCUUGAGAAAAUUCCAAUCAGUUUCCCCGAGAAGAAUAUUGUGCUAUCUAAGUGUUAAGUGGUAGCAAGAAAGCCGUUCGACGGCUUUUCCUCUCGGAUUUAGGAAACACGGACAGCAUCCGCCA